rnacentral:lncRNA from 1 species
CCUGGGCCUGGGUGCAGAGUUAGGGGAACAGCUCCUUCAGCAGUGUCAGCACAAACCAGGGCCAAAGUCAAGGAAAACUAGGCAAGAAUACAGGAAAAGAGAGAAAGAAAGAAGGAAAGCACGCCCUUCCACUCCAUACCCUUCAGGCUUGGUUCUCACAGAAGCCUGGCUCUGCAGGAAGGCGACAAUGGAAGUUCUCCAGAGAGAAGGCGUCUCCUUCUAAUCCUGCACCCCGCACCCGAGUUAUCCCCACAAACCAGAACACAUUUACUCCCAGAAGAUGCUGUUUGUUGAAAUGGGGAGCUGGAGGAAGCAGGGCCAACGGGGCAGGAGAGAGGGGCAGGUCUGAAGAAAAUGUAGACAGAAAUGCCUCCAUGGGGUGAGGAUCCAGUGCUUCCUGUGAGGCUGGCUGCUGGCAGGAAGGCGGAGAAAGCAAAUUCUCCCGCAAGGGUGUGUUUCUGAAAGUGGCUGGGAUCUAAGAAGUGGGAGGUAUGGGAACGGAAUGCAUCUUUCUGUAUCUUGAUUGAAGAUCAAAACAACUUCUAUUCUUGCAAAUUCCCUUAGAAAUACAGCCUCAUGGGGAUCGAGAAAGGAAUUUAUUUCUUCACAAAGCUUACCAAGCAGCCUGGCUGGGAGCCAUUUGGCAGUUUCUCCAGCAGGAAACUUCUGGAGAAGCAACAGGGCCCCCUCCUCAUGCUACAGGACCAGACUGAGGGAGCUCAGUCUCUCAGUUCCUGCCCUGGGUAACCUCACAGACAGGGUGCAUCCUGGAGGUGCACAGGGCAGCUCCCCAGCUGACCCUCCAGUGACUGAGGAGCUUGCCAGGCAAGGUGAAUGGCCUAAACCUGAGCUGUUCAGUUUGGGAUUGCAGGGGCUCACAAUGCCCCCAGAUAAGCAUGCUAUAUGUGGACCACCAGUUUUACCCAAGGAGCUUUUGUGUGUGUGUGUUGGGGGGGAGGGGGUGGUUGGGUGGAUUUCUUUUGAAAUAAACAUGAAUGUUUUAUGGAAC